UACGAAGGGGCUAGCGUUGCUCGGAAUUACUGGGCGUAAAGAGCGUGUAGGCGGUUCGGUAGGUCCGUUGUGAAAACUCGAGCUCACCUCGAGACGCCGAUGGAAACCCCGGAACCUACGAGUCGGCAAAGAGGAGAGUGGAAUUCCGUGGUGUGAGCGGUGAAAUGCGCAGAUAUCAGGAAGACACCGUGGCUAAGGCGGCUCUCUAGUACGGUACUGACGCUGAGACGCGAAAGCGUGGGGAGCGAACAGG
rnacentral:rRNA from 1 species